rnacentral:misc_RNA from 1 species
ACAAACUUGGUCAUUUAGAGGAAGUAAAAGUCGUAACAAGGUUUCCGUAGGUGAACCUGCGGAAGGAUCAUUAAAAGAUCGACCUCAUUUUUUUUGGUAUGGACGAUCGAAUCCAUAUCCACCUUGUGUGCACUGACUGACCGUUCGCUUUGGCAGGAGGAGUCUUGGAUGAUUUUCUUUUCUUUUUUCUUUCCUUUCCUUUCCUUCCCUUUUCGAAGGGAAAAAAAGGAGGGAAGGGGGGAGGGGGGAGGAGGAAAUAUUCCAAGCGAGGUUUCUUUUUUUCAAAAAGAAAACCUUGGCCUGCCAGAGUUUUUUAUUGCGAAAAAACGCUUCUCUUCUUCAUCUUCUUCCAGAAUGGAACCUUCAUCUCGAUUCUCUGUAAUCGAAUUGAACCAAAUACAACUUUCAACAACGGAUCUCUUGGCUCUCGCAUCGAUGAAGAACGCAGC